GAUGAAGAACGUAGCGAAAUGCGAUAAGUAAUGUGAAUUGCAGAAUUCAGUGAAUCAUCGAAUCUUUGAACGCACAUUGCGCCCGCCAGUAUUCUGGCGGGCAUGCCUGUUCGAGCGUCAUUUCAACCAUCAAGCCCACGGCUUGUGUUGGGGACCUGCGGCUGCCGCAGGCCCUGAAAAGCAGUGGCGGGCUCGCUGUCACACCGAGCGUAGUAGCAUACAUCUCGCUCUGGGCGUGCUGCGGGUUCCGGCCGUUAAACCACCUUCAUAACCCAAGGUUGACCUCGGAUCAGGUAGGAAGACCCGCUGAACUUAAGCAUAUCAAUAAGCGGAGGA
rnacentral:misc_RNA from 1 species